AUUGAACGCUGGCGGCAGGUCUAACACAUGCAAGUCGAGCGAGCGGCGGACGGGUGAGUAAUGUAUGGGGAUCUGCCCGAUAGAGGGGGAUAACUACUGGAAACGGUGGAUAAUACCGCAUACUAUCGGAUGAACCCAUAUGGGAUUAGCGAGUAGGUGGGGUAAAGGCUCACCUAGGCGACGAUCUCUAGCUGGUCGUAGAGGAUGAUCAGCCACACUGGGACUGAGACACGGCCCAGACUCCGACGGGAGGCAGCAGUGGGGAAUAUUGCACAAUGGGCGCAAGCCUGAUGCAGCCAUGCCGCGUGUAUGAAGAAGGCCUUCGGGUUGUAAAGUACUUUCAGCGAGGAGGCGUUACUCGCAGAAGAAGCACCGGCUAACUCCGUGCCAGCAGCCGCGGUAAUUC
rnacentral:rRNA from 1 species